rnacentral:rRNA from 1 species
UUAUCCGGAUUUAUUGGGUUUAAAGGGAGCGUAGAUGGAUGUUUAAGUCAGUUGUGAAAGUUUGCGGCUCAACCGUAAAAUUGCAGUUGAUACUGGAUGUCUUGAGUGCAGUUGAGGCAGGCGGAAUUCGUGGUGUAGCGGUGAAAUGCUUAGAUAUCACGAAGAACUCCGAUUGCGAAGGCAGCCUGCUAAGCUGCAACUGACAUUGAGGCUCGAAAGUGUGGGUAUCAAACAGGAUUAGAUACCCUGGUAGUCCACACGGUAAACGAUGAAUACUCGCUGUUUGCGAUAUACGGCAAGCGGCCAAGCGAAAGCGUUAAGUAUUCCACCUGGGGAGUACGCCGGCAACGGUGAAACUCAAAGGAAUUGACGGGGGCCCGCACAAGCGGAGGAACAUGUGGUUUAAUUCGAUGAUACGCGAGGAACCUUACCCGGGCUUAAAUUGCA